CCUACGGGAGGCUGCAGUGAGGAAUAUUGGUCAAUGGGCGCGAGCCUGAACCAGCCAAGUCGCGUGAGGGAAGACGGUCCUAUGGAUUGUAAACCUCUUUUAUAAAGGAAUAAAACGAGGCACGUGUGCCUUUUUGCAUGUACUUUAUGAAUAAGGAUCGGCUAACUCCGUGCCAGCAGCCGCGGUAAUACGGAGGAUCCGAGCAUUAUCCGGAUUUAUUGGGUUUAAAGGGAGCGUAGAUGGGUUGUUAAGUCAGUUGUGAAAGUUUGCGGCUCAACCGGAAAAUUGCAAUUGAUACUGGCAGUCUUGAGUACAGUUGAGGUAGGCGGAAUUCGUGGUGUAGCGGUGAAAUGCUUAGAUAUCACGAAGAACCCCGAUUGCGAAGGCAGCUUACUAAACUGUGACUGACAUUGAUGCUCGAAAGUGUGGGUAUCAAACAGGAUUAGAUACCCCAGUAGUC
rnacentral:rRNA from 1 species